rnacentral:rRNA from 1 species
AGUGAACGCUGGCGGUAGGCCUAACACAUGCAAGUCGAACGGCAGCACAGUAAGAGCUUGCUCUUACGGGUGGCGAGUGGCGGACGGGUGAGGAAUACAUCGGAAUCUACUUUUUCGUGGGGGAUAACGUAGGGAAACUUACGCUAAUACCGCAUACGACCUACGGGUGAAAGCAGGGGAUCUUCGGACCUUGCGCGAUUGAAUGAGCCGAUGUCGGAUUAGCUAGUUGGCGGGGUAAAGGCCCACCAAGGCGACGCUCCGUAGCUGGUCUGAGAGGAUGGUCAGCCACACUGGAACUGAGACACGGUCCAGACUCCUACGGGAGGCAGCAGUGGGGAAUAUUGGACAAUAGGCGCAAGCCUGAUCCAGCCAUACCGCGUGGGUGAAGAAGGCCUUCGGGUUGUAAAGCCCUUUUGUUGGGAAAGAAAAGCAGCAGGUUAAUACCCCGCUGUUCUGACGGUACCCAAAGAAUAAGCACCGGCUAACUUCGU